AAGUAUACAUAUCCGUCGACGCUUUGUCAUCCCAUUUAGAGGCCAAACGAAAAGGCCUCAAUAAGAAAGUGAUCAUCUCAUCUCAAGAUUCUUGAUUUUCUAGACACCUUUUUACUCAUUAUAUUUUCAAAUGACAGAACCCAAAAGCUCCUGUAGUAAAGAAUAUUUUGAAGAUGGGUUUUGCUCUUCUGAUGAUAAAGGUGGAAUUUUUGAGGAUGGAGUUGAAGAGAAAGUGAAAAAGAAGAAGAAGAAGGAGAAGAAGAGGAAUCAACAGAGAAUAAUUAGUGAAGAAAAGGGUGAUAAUUUGAUGAGAGAUCCACUAAUUUUACUUGGAUCAGAUAUUAUGUUGAUGAUUUUGAGCUGUCUUGACGCACGCAGCGUGGCACUUUCUCUCCUUGUGUCACGCGGUUGGCGUGCUGUUGCUUCUUCUGAUAACAUUUGGAGCUCAAAGGUUGUCCUCUGGCCAUUUUUCUAGUUGGUUUAUUGGGAAGACGAUAAAUUGUUGAAGAUCAAUUGUCUCUUUUGUUUCUUGCUCUUAAUUGCUUUAUGAGUGCGAUGAAUUAUGGCAUGACAAAGCACAUUUACCUCGGGUAGCGAAAAUGAAUGGAUUGUCAAAGUUGGCUGCUUACUCAUUGUCGGUAAUGGAUGGUGAACGUAAGCGAGUAACAAAGGAGGAUUUAUGUGAUCAUGCGUGGGAGUUCCAUUUCACCGAGGCAUUAUCCAACCCCAUAUAUGUCAUGCAUGGAUGCAGCUCGCACCAAAUUGAGUUAGUAGAACUUGUACGUGCUUGAGAACACAUAAAUCUGUGCAACUGCUGUCCAAACAUCCAAUUUUUUAUGAUCUCCUCUGUGGCAAGCACAAUAACUUAAUUACAAGAGGGAUCGGUCACUUUGCGUAGCUUUGCAAGUGGUUGGUAAGAAAUUAAAAUGGUUACUUUCUUUAGUCAUUUCUUUCCACUGCUUGUUCUUCGCAAAAAUAUCUACUGCUUUAUUACUGUCCCUGGUCAGUUUCAUAGGGCUUCUCUUCCUUUCCCUAGUUUCCUGUCAUAGGGUUAGGACAUUAGCAUAAUCAUUAUGUGAAAUGCAACCUAAUAAAGACUCCUCAGGCAGCCCCGGAAUAUUGGCGAAUGCUCGACCCCUACUGGAACGGGACAGGACCUCCCAUGCGCCGUUAUUUCCUUCCAGAUGGAAGUCAGACUGCAGAACCAGAUGACAAGGUAUGGGGCGGUCAUGAGUCUUGCUACUCCAUAGUAACUAGCUUGCUUGCAGAUGGAAAAAUACGACAACACUAUGUGAGGAUUAACCGUUGGCCACCGAUGUAUGUGACAAGGAAGAACGAUUGGAGCUGGGAAAUCUCUAACAACUUGCGUAUCUAUAGGAGCAUCCCUGAUGCUGACAAAGAAGAUGGAACAGGACCUUUGUUUCUACUUUACUAGCCUCUGCUUUUGAAUGUAAUAAUAUGUGCUUUUUUGAAGCAAAACUAUGGAAGUGCUUGCUUUGUAUUGUGUUAAUUUCAAUAGAGUUUGUGUUUCUUAGGUGCAGUUUGGAAAUUAUAGGGCUGUGAAUGGAAGACUACCAGUCCUUUUGCAAUGUACUCUUUAGACAUGAUGUUGAGUUUUGGGCUUCUUUUAAUUACAAUUUCUUGA